AUUGAACGCUGGCGGCAGGCCUAACACAUGCAAGUCGAGCGGAUGAAGGGAGCUUGCUCCUGGAUUCAGCGGCGGACGGGUGAGUAAUGCCUAGGAAUCUGUCUGGUAGUGGGUGAUAACGUCCGGAAACGGGCGCUAAUACCGCAUACGUCCUGAGGGAGAAAGUGGGGGAUCUUCGGACCUCACGCUAUCAGAUGAGCCUAGGUCGGAUUAGCUAGUUGGUGGGGUAAAGGCCUACCAAGGCGACGAUCCGUAACUGGUCUGAGAGGAUGAUCAGUCACACUGGAACUGAGACACGGUCCAGACUCCUACGGGAGGCAGCAGUGGGGAAUAUUGGACAAUGGGCGAAAGCCUGAUCCAGCCAUGCCGCGUGUGUGAAGAAGGUCUUCGGAUUGUAAAGCACUUUAAGUUGGGAGGAAGGGCAGUAAGUUAAUACCUUGCUGUUUUGACGUUACCAACAGAAUAAGCACCGGCUAACUUCGUG
rnacentral:rRNA from 1 species